rnacentral:rRNA from 1 species
ACGGCAGCACGGAGCUUGCUCUGGUGGCGAGUGGCGAACGGGUGAGUAAUAUAUCGGAACGUACCCUGGAGUGGGGGAUAACGUAGCGAAAGUUACGCUAAUACCGCAUACGAUCUACGGAUGAAAGUGGGGGAUCGCAAGACCUCAUGCUCGUGGAGCGGCCGAUAUCUGAUUAGCUAGUUGGUAGGGUAAAAGCCUACCAAGGCAUCGAUCAGUAGCUGGUCUGAGAGGACGACCAGCCACACUGGAACUGAGACACGGUCCAGACUCCUACGGGAGGCAGCAGUGGGGAAUUUUGGACAAUGGGCGAAAGCCUGAUCCAGCAAUGCCGCGUGAGUGAAGAAGGCCUUCGGGUUGUAAAGCUCUUUUGUCAGGGAAGAAACGGUGAGGGCUAAUAUCUCUUGCUAAUGACGGUACCUGAAGAAUAAGCACCGGCUAACUACGUGCCAGCAGCCGCGGUAAUACGUAGGGUGCAAGCGUUAAUCGGAAUUACUGGGCGUAAAGCGUGCGCAGGCGGUUUUGUAAGUCUGAUGUGAAAUCCCCGGGCUCAACCUGGGAAUUGCAUUGGAGACUGCAAGGCUAGAAUCUGGCAGAGGGGGGUAGAAUUCCACGUGUAGCAGUGAAAUGCGUAGAUAUGUGGAGGAACACCGAUGGCGAAGGCAGCCCCCUGGGUCAAGAUUGACGCUCAUGCACGAAAGCGUGGGGAGCAAACAGGAUUAGAUACCCUGGUAGUCCACGCCCUAAACGAUGUCUACUAGUUGUCGGGUCUUAAUUGACUUGGUAACGCAGCUAACGCGUGAAGUAGACCGCCUGGGGAGUACGGUCGC